UUGUCUUUUCAGAGCCACGGAUGAUGAUGAUGAAGAUGAUAUCACUGAUUCCCCUGCUGACCACUCUGGGGUUCCUGACUCAGGAAUCAUCUGGGGCUGGAGUUGUGACUCAGUCUCCUACUGCCAAGUCUGUUAGUCUGGGAGAGACUGUGUAUCUGAGCUGCACAGCCAGUAAAGGGGUGGAUGAUGACCUGAGCUGGUACCUGCAGAAACCUGGACAGUCCCCUCAACUCCUCUUCUAUAAAAUAAGUCAACGUCAGUCUGAAACUCCUGGUCAUUUCAGUAGCAGUGGAUCUGAACCAGAUUUUACUAUGACCAUCAGUGAAGUCCAGGCUGAAGAUGUAGGAGAUUACUACUGCAUGGGUGCGUACACUGAUGGGAGGACACAGUGAUUUAGAGUCAUACAAAAACCUUCCUCAGUCAGACUGCACAGAGACUGUACUGCUGCAGCUGGGACCUACUACAGGUGUUGAAAGGCAACAGACUAUGACAUGAAACACUGGUUCACUGAACACAGACUUAAAAUCCUCAUACAGCGUUAGACAGUCCCACACCAGGACAAUGUUACUCUGGUUACUCAUGACAGGACCAUAGUUCACCCAACCACCUCCUCUACACAACCAUAACCCUUACAUCACAUCCAUAUAGAAACAACCACUUUACUACCACACCAUUGACCUUCAGCUCUGGAAUGUUCAGAUAGAAAUACAUUGUGUAGAACAGACAUCAUUAUCUGUCAAAAAGAACAUUGAGUGUUAAAGUCUUUAAUUUUCUAAA